AGAAGGAGGGAGAGAGAGAAAGAGAGAGAGAGAGAGGGGGGGGAGAGAAAAAGGAAGAGAAGCGUAAAGGGAAAGAGCCGCUCGACUGUCUCGCCGUGGUUAUUCCGGCUUUUUGAUAUCGGUCGGGUUUCGCCGCGGCAGUAUCGAGCUAACAAUUAAUUAUUGGCGGCGCUUCAGAGGGCUGCCGGCAGCCGUAGUUAAACAUUACGCGUUCCAUAUCUUACUGUGCUAUCUAAUCCCCCCGGGGGCUCGAGCGCUACUGCAGUAAUCUCGUUUAAUUGCCGGCUGUAGACGCGAGAGUCCCGUUCAAUUAGUUUUUCAAAUAAACAUUAGUUUCCUUAACACGCGGCGCCAUAACGUGCCGGAGGAUGAGAAGGACGAGGAGGAGGUGGCUGGUAGGUGGAAGAGGAGACGGCGCGAAGAGGGAAGAAGCGCGAUCGAGGGAUGACGUGAGAGAAAGAGAGAGACGGGGACGGAAGAGGGAGCAGGUGAGAGAAAGAGGGGCGUAGAUGGUGCAGUCGGAAGGCAGUCGGUGGAGGUGACGGGUCUGUGGAGCAGAAGGGAUGUGGCGAGUGUGGGAGGGGAGAAACACCGAUGGAGGAGAACGGCGGUGUCGCGUCCGCGGGGGCGCGCUGUCUGGCCCUCUGGCACCCCCUUCGCCCCCUUCGCCACGCCAUCAUUAGUCAAUGUCGACGCUUGUAGCACGUGGAGCUCCACAGAAUGCAACAUCUGCCUGAUAUCCCUCUGUAUCUCUCGUACAAAUCCGUGCCGCGAUUCUACCACAAGCGCUCGAGGAGCAGCAGAGGCUUAGUCGGCGUCGUCGGUCGGCGAUGAGCAGCGCGACGGUGGAGAGCGUUUACAGGCGGCCUAAGAGAUGGCGCGAGUAGGAAGAUGAUAGGACGAGGAUGCGAAGAAUUCCGAGACCACAAAUGGGUGUUCGAUCCGCAUCACGUGGUGAUAAGCAGGCAACUACCAGUAAGUGAAACAAGACUCGAUGCAGAAACAUAACUGGGUUACCGCAGGAGACACUUAAACCAUGUUCUCGUGGCAGAGACUCCGUGGCAGAUGAGAGGGAGAGAAAAAGAGAAGGAAGGAGGAGCGAGAGGCGGAAAGACUAUGAUGGAGUACAACGGGAAGGACGAAAGAGGAAAGCGAGGAGAAAUUGAGAAAGAGAGGGACGGAACAGAAAAGAGAGGUUUCGUUAAGUCGCACCGACGUCGCAUGUGCACGGCCAGGGCGAACCGGACCUAUAAAUAUUGUCGAAACGCGUCAAAUAAAUCUGAAGCUUUCCCAUGUUGCAAGACAAAAAGGAGCAGGGUAAAGCGAUGGUCUGAUGGCCGCUGCAAGGGUGACCCCUAUUUAUUGCCGAAUUAAAGCGCGUCACCAUUAAUUUGCAUACCGUGAGCGCGAGCGCGGAGGAGCGUCAACAUGCGUCUGGCAUUCCACGUCGUUUGACGAAUCUUGCGAUCUCGGCGUCGCGCUUCAUAAUUACGCGCCCGUUAAUUCGUCGUGGCUCCGUCGCCUCGCUGCACGCUAGCACGCCAGCAAACGUUUUUGUUGCUCCUUCCCUCCUCCAGUCAUCUUUUAUUAAACGGUUUUGAAUCUAAUUUUAUAUCGCGACGAGACACACGGAAUUCGCCAUCGCAUCGAAGCAAUGAUUGAACGUUCAUCUCUCCUGCCCCUGUCGUCACACGUUACUGCGCGAAUUUAAACGUUUAGUUUCUCAACGCACGAAUAAAUUUUGAAGAUUUUAUAUAAAUAGCUAAUAGAAAUUUUUAACGACAUAGAAUAUUACCGUUUAACUUUGAGGAAUAGGAAAAAAAAAGACUUUUUGCGUUCUCGAAGCGUGUUUCGAUCCUCGAAGAUUCACGGAGGCGUCUCAUCCUCUUAACGUCAAACAUCAGAAGAUAGAGAACUUUUUCCAACAUCUUCAAGUCUAAUUGCGGAAGAGAGUCGCGUGCCUCUCUUACAGCCUCUCGACUAAUUGCUCGAAACAAUUAAAGCCAAGGAUCGAAUUUGCUUUUCUUGCGCCCCAUCUCCCCUCCCUCGCCUGUCGUCUCUUCCCUCUUGUUUGCCGAGCGCGUUUCCCUUCCCCGCGUUUGUUUUCUGGAAAGCGAAAACCGUUGCACAAGGAAUCGCGCACGUCGUGUCGUACGCGCGGGACGAGCCGGUGUCGGUGUCUCGGGGUGCGAGCUGCUCGAUCCACGCCAUAAAUUAGCAAUUAUUUAAUUUUCGUAGGGCCCGGGGUCCUUAGACGGCUCUAAAUCAGUCUCCGUUGCAAAAAGCAUAGAUAACUAUGACGCAUGGCUCCCAGGAAGAGACAGGGGUGCGCUCACCGGAUUGUGGCGGUGGUGACUUGGUCCGGGCUGGGGGGAAGUGAGUAGGGUAGAUGACGGGGGUAAGCGGAGAGGACUCAGGAACGGCGAGCUAUCACGCUCCGGUGGUGCAGCGGCAGGGGGAAAAAGGGGGUGCGACAGGAUCGUCGAGGAUCUCGUCGGUGGGGGUCCGCUCCACGAUAACUGUUAGUUUCGCGGUGUCGUCGUGGCAGCGAGCGAGCGAGCGAGCGAUGCGACGUUCCCCGUUCCCGCUUCUGUUCCUCAUGACGACGAAGAACCGACGUCGUUGCUGGUUCGCUGCUGUCGCUGCUCUGGCUGGCUGGCUGGCUGGCUGGCUGGCUGGUUGUACGAUAGCUGGUGGUGGGCGCACACUGCCACCGUUGCUCCCGGUUCGCCGCUGUGUAUGUAAAUGUGGACGAGAGCAAGAUAGAGAGAAAGAGAGGGAGUGAGAGAGAGAGAGAGAGAGAGAGAGAGACGAAGCGGGCGAACGAGCACACGGAGCUGGGCACAAUGGCAACUAGUUUUAAUUACAAAGUAAGGUGAAGCGAUCAAUCAUAAUGAUGUACGUGAGGCAGGCGCGGCCUCUGGGGUGUCGAGGGUGGGAAGCGGCGAGGAGAAGGUGGAGAAGGACGAAAAGGAUGGAGACUGGGACGGGGGAGGAGGGGGUCGAUGCCGCUCCGGGGCGGGGUGGAGAGGGCCCCCGCGUACACUUUGCGUAUAAUUUACUGGCACUGGAUAUACCUGAAGUUAUGCUAUACCGAAGCUGCCAUCGUCCUUCUUCGUCCCGCGUGUCUCUUUCUCUCCUUCCUGCCAUCGCUCUUACCGCCGUACUACGAUAGAGUAGAUCUCUCUCUUGCUCUCUUUCUCUUUUCUCUCUGCUUCUCUCCCUCCCCCCUCGCUCAUUCCCACCGUAUCUUUCUCCUUUCCCCUACCUAUGACUCUGUGCGCUUCGUCUGGCCGACUGGCCGCCAUAACUCUCGGUCGCUCCCUCCGAAAUAUCUGAUGCGCCACGCGAUAUUUACGAUCAGCACGCCCUGGCGAAGCCCGGCGCUGAAAGCCUGACGGCGAUCCUUCUCCUUCUUCGUCUUCUUCCGUCCCACGUCUGAUUCUUGCUCGUGCGUCUAUCACCUUCUUCUUUCCCGCCCUCUCGCCUUCGACCCAUCACCGCGAACUCGGGACUGUAAACGGGAGGUCACACAACGCGCGGGAGAUGACCGCGAUUGUUGCUCAAGAUUAUGGAUUUGACGAUCGAUGCGAUUUCGAAUUGAACCGAGAUUGAUCCAUAUAUCCUCGAUUGAUCCGUGACGCGCGUUCAAUUAACUUUCAUUAGUUCGUUAACGUCGCUCAGGACUGCAAUUACACACAAGUUCGUUCGCAAUGGUACGUCGUUUUGUAUAAAAAAGAUCGAGAUACAUCACAACAUGUGUAUCUUUACGUCGUGCAUGUCACGGGAACGAGCGAAUCUUCACCAGUCGGGACGCGCGAUCCUCUUCUGCGCGGUCGUGGCCGUCUCGUCCGUGGACGAUACGGUCAUGAAUAUUGCGAGCGCCGGUAUUUUGAGCCGGCGUGACGAGCGUUGAUGGGGAUUUACCUCGGCCUCUCCUUGUGUGGCUCGCCGCAAGAACUCCGCGGCCAAAGAGAGAGUUCGCCUUUUUCAGCUUCCUCCGCCGUCCCUACACCGAGACGUCUCCGCGCACACGAUACUUGAGUGCUGCCCUUCCUCCCUCCUUCCCUGGUCUCUGCCCUUUUUUGCGCACCCUUUCCCCUCUAGCUUUCUCAGUCGCUCGUUUGCCCUUUCUUUCCGACUCGUCUGCCAACGUUCGUCUUAAAGCGCGCGUGAGCGUAGACAUCCCUCGCGUGACGGGCCGAUGUCCAUCAGCCACCAUCGUACGACCGCCGCGUCGCUGCAGCAGCAGCCGCCGCCACCGCCGCCGCCGCCGCUCUGCCAAAACAAAACGUAAUUAUUUCACGUGAUUAGCUGACCAACCGACCGACCUGGCCGCACUCUCGCGGGAACGCUCGCGCGGCAUCCUUCUUCCUCGGAGUGCGUAAUGCACCACACGUGAAACGACGCCUCGUAACCCUUUCGCUUUCUUCCUACCUGUCCGGCGAAUCAUUAAUGUAAAUCACCGACGUGUCGUGCCGCGGCUAACGAUCCAAGCGCCGCGAUUCGCUUUGACGGCGCCCGAUGGAUACGCGGAUCCGCGUUAAUUUAGGGAUCCGGCUGAUCUCUUCGCCGCGAGGCCCGAGCACCCGAUGCGAGUAAUGCGUCAAUUUGUCUACGUCGAACUAAGGUAGCGCAGUAGCAUUGUGCACGUGCGAAAGAAAAAGAUAUGUUAAAGUAUGUUCUCGCUCUCUUAUGGAAAUUACUAAGGGAGAUGAAUUACAUGGCGAGAUUAAGGAUUAACAAAAAAUUUGUAGGCACCGUUUGUUCGACGAAUGAGGAAAUGACCAAUGACCAAUCGCAAUUAUACUUUGAGCAUAACAAUCUCGGCAUAAUUCACUUCUUAAAUUGUUUGCGAUUCUCCCUCUAUGUGAUACUUAUUGAAUCACGCAAAUACAAAAUUCUUAUUAAAAAAUUGCCAUCGAUUGAAGUACCGCAAUGCCAAUAUUUCGCAAUUUAGAUGCAUGGAUGCGCCACGCACGGGGCGAGUAAUUUUCUAAUCGGAUAAUCCGCGCGCGGCGGAGGAGGAAGCUCUCGAGACGGGCGGUCCCGCAUAGGCAGAGUGUAGAAAACGAGCUGCCGGAAUCUGUGCAAUCCAAUUUGUUCGACGACCACUCGCCCGGUCGAUUCAACGGAGCUAAAGGCUAGACAUUAUUGGCCAGCUCGCGUGCUGCAUGCGCAAUGAAAUAAUAACGCCGCGAAAUCUAUUAGACACGUGAGCGUGGCUUCUUUCUCCUUUAACGACCGCCGGAGGGUCCCGCGGUACGUACCCGGAGGCUUUAUACCGGCUCCGUGCACGCCAGUGAGUCACUCAUGGGCGUGCGCGCGCGGCAAUGGUCGUUCGGAGCCGUGGCAGUGUACAGCACGCGUGACCUUACCACGGAGAAACGAUCCCUCGUAACCUUGAGAUUUCCCCGUGCGAAAUCGACAGUGAGCCAUAAAAUUCAUGAUCGUCGUCGCGCACGCAGCCAAUUUCUUUCCCCCGCCACGGCGCGGCGGCGUGGUGUCGCGUCGCGUCGGCAAAGGCAGAAAUGAUAUUAAUCUAGACGUUAUUAAUCUUCCGGGUGCGCGCGGAAUAACGUCUAUUUUAAGCGAAAUUCUCAAUUAUUGUAUAGUUACAUCGUGAACGUUCGUACGAGGAAUAUUUUCAUUAGUUUCAUUAAACGUCGUAGGAAUACGACCACUCUGCUGUUCCACGAAGCAAAAAUUGGCGUGUUCAGACACGGUCAAAAUGGAAAAGGCGAGGUGCGGCGACUUUUACCGCGCGCUAUGCAUUUUUAAUUACCACCAGCUGAGGCAUAAACGGACGCGUCUGAUAGCGUUAUUAAAAAUUCGCUUUAUCACAUACGUAUCAUCGAAUCGUACGAGACAGCAAUUAUCUUAGCCAUUUCUUUGUUUUUUUUUUCCUACUCCUCUUCCGUACUCUUAUCGUUUUAUGUGUCGAGUUCGUUUCUCGGAUGAAGGUUCAGCCUUGGUACCAGUCGCAGCGUCAGCCAUUAAUUAAAUAUAAAGUAACUCCGCGUUGUCAACAACGUGCUUGGUAGCUCGGCUGUUCCGCGCCGACAGCCGGGAAUAACAAUAAAAAUGAUAAUUGUACCUGAAGUAGCUUCUCGUACCUUGGAUCGAAAGGGUUGGGAAAACGGGACGAAUGUAAAGGAAACGAUAUGCCGUUUUCAGCGGGCCGCACGGCCGUAUAUGCGCGCGCGUGUAUUGGUGCUUAUCGCGGCCGUGAAUGCGAGUAAUUUCACACGACUAAUUAGCCUCUCGUUAGCCGCGCGCCGGCCCGUUCCAGAAGCGAGGCGAUGGACGCGCGGGAAUGAAAGAAAGGAAAAAAGGAGAAGACAACGAGAUGAUAAUUUUGCAAUACAAAUCCGCGACUUAUCGGAUAACUCGUCUCCCUCUCCCUCCCCCCCCCUCUCCCCCUCCGCUUUCGCGCGUCCCUGUCGCGCCAGAGUAGGUCCGCGAGGCGAUUAAUUAAAUUCUCGGGUAAUCAAAUAUGUCACUCAGCCGUCCGGUUUUAAUUAAAGUUCGGACAUUAUCUAUUUGCUUUAUCAUCGUAGAGUUGACUAGCGCAGACUCCACGGACCCGAGGGACGAGCAAGUCCGUGGCGAGACGGGACGGGACGAGGGCGAGCAGAUGAGCGUCAAAGUGAUGGGAGAGAAGUUGGCUGACACCCGAUCGAAAGUGUCACUAGCCUCUUCUGAUAGAUUGCGAUUGGACGUUCGUGCUCUUUUUGGCGAAGCCGGCACCGUCGCCGUCGUCGCCACGCCGCCGCGCCGCCCGCGCGUCCCUUUCGCGUUUCAUUCCCUACUUAUCAUUAUCAUCGUGAGACGAAGCCGCCAAAGUGCGUUGCGAAUUAACGAUAUUAAUUGAUCCAAUUCCGCCGCUGAGUGCUCGCGGGCAUUAGCGCGCAAUUUGUUUUAGUAAGUGCAAAAUUUCAGAGAUAAAGCUAACGCAGCCGCGUCCUUGUUUACCGCUCGCACACUCCACGCUUAAAUGCGGCCGUUUGAUCCCGGAUUUUAUUUUCCUAAUACGAAGAUUACAUUCGACGUUAUCGUACGUGGAAAGCUAAAUAGCCGUAUUUAACGUUCAAUGUGCCAUACGAACACAGACCGAAGAAUUCACGUGGAGAUUCCGUUUAAACGUUGCCCGUCAAUUGUGUACGUACAGAUGCAAAUAUAAUCAGAUUUAUCAAGAACACAUCUGUUGAAUUAGUGCGAAAGUCUUGGUCCUUUUUGGCGUUGCUCUUAUUAUGGUAUCAAGAGCUCGAGGAACUAUCUAUAAUAAAAAAUUGGUUCCAUUUGAAUUAUUCACAGUACUAUCUUGAAUCAGCGAAAGGCUGAAGAAAAGAUAUUUGAAUACGAGUAGAAUGUACGAAUUUCGGAAAGGAAUAAAAAUGGUGGGUGUCGUAAAAAUCAUUUGUGAUGAAUUUGAAAAAUUUCCAAUGCUUUUUGUGGUAUUUAUCAUUUUUAUUAAACGUGCAUCGCAUGUAAAUAUUCUUAUUUUAAACUCAUCUUCGCUCAUACAAAAUAGCACUAUAAAUAACUCACUAGCAUUAUUUUUCAUAGAUAGUUCUUAAAGUUAUUUUCCCAACGAUAUUAUGAUUCACCAAUAGUAUCUGCCAAUAACGACAUACUGUAGCGAGAGUAACAUUAUUCCUUCGAAAAGGCUCAAGUUUUUUUGUGCCCACUUAAUAUACGUACGUAUAAUUCGAUACGUGUUUAUGUAUAAAUAAAAGAAAUAUUACUGUAGUUUAUCUAAAGCGUAGUCCAAGCAAUUACAUCGAUUUAUCCAAAAAUCUUUAUAGCGACGAUAAACCAUUCGCGAAGCAAAAACUUGUUUGUCUCGUUGGUCCGAGGCGCAUAGGAAAUAGCUAGGCGUCGAUCGACGUAGAUCCUUGUGCGACGCGACGCGCAACGGCAAAGUGAUAAUUCCCGCGAUUCGCCGGGAAUUUCUCCGACUCUUCGCGUUCUUCCUCCCUCUUUUUUCCACCCUCCUCGAUUAGAGGAGCUGCUGACGUCCUUCUUCGCAGCAGCCGCCGUUGUCGUCUCCUACGUCGGUAAGGCGGUUUUACGUCUUAUGAGUUCCCAACUGCGGCACCUCUUCUAUUCCUCGCAAUGAUUUCGUCGCAAUCACCCUCGUCUCACCCCCGCGCCGAGGGCCUCGACGACAGGGCGGUAAUAUCGGGGAAUGGCGCGACGAAACUACGAGAGGCGGAGAGGCCGACCGACACUUUUGUCAAUACACCGGGAAAGAAAGAGGAGGACGCCGACAGGGCGGUGGCGUCUCUCUCAGCCGGCGUUGCCGCUAUAAAGACCACUCGUGUCAUUUCGCAAUGACGAAACUUUGUCCUGAAUUCUCCGUUUCUCUCGUUCCACGAGCCAGCGCUCUGCGCGCGUCGCCGCGCCGAUCCCCUCGCCUCAUCAUCCUCCGCGCUCGCUCCCUCGAGUUCGAGGUAUGGCUCGAGUUUGUUAGUUUGAGCAGCUCGGUAGCUGCCGGCUUGUGUCAGUACACUCGCCAUUCUUUCCGUGUUCUGCCUUUCUCUCACCGUUUCGUCUAAUCUUUUGCGUUUCUCGUUCAUUCUCUCACGGGUUUCUCUCUUUCUCUCUCUCCCACUACUCACUCGCCCCGGCUCGCAUCCCAUCCGCUUCGCGCACGUACAUACCUAGUCUACAUUGGGCAAUAACAAACUGCUCGACGAAAGUAUCGAGAAACAAAAGAUAUAUGAGGUGGCGGACGGGGACCGGGAGGGCCGAGGGCGGCGGCGGUGGAGAACGACGCGGGAUGGACGACGCUGAGUGAGUCGACGAUGGGAACGAUAUUACGUCUUGUCGGACGCCAUCUUCCUCUUACGACCACCCGUCACCUCCAGAAACUUACGAGGAUGAGUGGCCGAGAAGUUGCCGCUGCGACUGAGCACUCGGCAGAUUUCAGGAUUUUUCGAGAAGACGCCAAGUAUGGACGGAAUGUCACCAAUCGAUUGGUCUUACCCGCCAAACUACGCAUCUGGAUUUAACGUGUGCCACAUUCCAGAUCGGUUACGGCAUUAUCAUUAAAAUUGCGGGAAUGACGUUCAAGCCGCGGGAACUCUCGUUGUUAAAUCAGCAUUUAUUUAUGACGUUAUAAAUGUGAUAUUUGAAAUAAAAUCCUCGGCCUUCCGUUCACAGCUCUUGACAUAUGUAUCCACUCUGAAGCGGAAAAUGACAUUUCGUUAUUUCGUAAUUAGAAAAACAAGUAGAAUAGUUGAUACGGCGUAUCGAGAGAAACUCGGCACUUUCAUCGUCACGCGUAAAAACGUGCGGCUCACGAAACGUGGUUGAUGCAAGGUGGCAUUGAUAACCAUCCGAGUUUAUGACGUUCGAGUUUAUGACAUCCGGCAGAGCUGUUUGUCACGCCGACCUCCGAGAAGCCUUCGGUAACGACACGCACGCCGAUGAAUCAGGAAACGGACAUUACAUAUUUAUCCGCCGGGAACUCGAAAAUGAGAAGAGGCAGGGCGGGCCACGCGACUCACGUCGUCGUCGCGGAAGACCUCGUCAUCCUCGUCGUCGUAUGCUUGCGCAUACUAAUCGUAAUGCACGCGUGCAUGCGUGCGAGUCGUAACGCGGCCCACCCAGCCGUUCAGAAAGACCACCGACGUUCGUUUCUGUCAUCAUCUUUGAACGUCUCCGUCGUUUAGAUUAUCCUCCUAAGCAUUUUUCUUUGUGGCGAAGUAAGAGAAGAGUACACUCUAAAUACGUUUCAAUUUUAUGUCUCUCGUAAAUCGUUAGCAACAAUGAUGGUCGAUUAUGUCACCGAUGAACAAAAAAAUUAUAAUUAAACGAAUCUAAAAUAUUGGCGUAUGAAAUUAAAAUAAAGACGGCUGUUACCUUCACAUAGUUUCGAGAUAAAUUUAUGUUUAAAAAUUACAUUAUUUUGUCCCGUAGGUUUUAAAUCACGGAGCAUCUUCUUAACGGAAAAUGAAUAUUUUGAUCUCUCCGUUCGCGUCGUUCCUCAAGAUCGAGACAUUCGCGACAUGUUAGCACAAGGGUUUCCCCGCGCAGUCGGGUUAGACCGCCGCGCCGAUUGAAAAAGGAUCCGCUUGUGGAUACA